rnacentral:rRNA from 1 species
CUUCCGUAGGGGAACCUGCGGAGGGAUCAUUACAGAGUUGCAAAACUCCCACAAACCAUCGCGAAUCUUACCCGUACGGUUGCCUCGGCGCUGGCGGUCCGAAAGGACCCUCGGGUCUCCCGCUCGCGGGAGGCUGCCCGCCGGAGUGCCGAAACCAAACUCUUGAUAUUUUUAUGUCUCUCUGAGUAAACUUUUAAAUAAGUCAAAACUUUCAACAACGGAUCUCUUGGUUCUGGCAUCGAUGAAGAACGCAGCGAAAUGCGAUAAGUAAUGUGAAUUGCAGAAUUCAGUGAAUCAUCGAAUCUUUGAACGCACAUUGCGCUCGCCAGUAUUCUGGCGAGCAUGCCUGUUCGAGCGUCAUUUCAACCAUCAAGCUCUGCUUGCGUUGGGGAUCCGCGGCUGCCCGCGGUCCCUCAAAAACAGUGGCGGGCUCGCUAGUCACACCGAGCGUAGUAACUCUACAUCGCUAUGGUUGUGCGGCGGGUUCUUGCCGUAAAACCCCCCAAAUUCUUAAGGUUGACCUCGGAUCAGGUAGGAAUACCCGCUGAACUUAAGCAUAUCAAUAAGCGGAGGAA